rnacentral:lncRNA from 1 species
CUCGUGAAAUUCAAUUUCAUCAAAAAAUAGCAGCGCAACAGUUACAACCACAAACAUCGGAUCAAAAAUUAAAGAAAGGAGAUUAGAAGUAACAUGAAAUUAACUUUUCGUUGAAUUGAAAUGCAGUAAUUAGACGGAUCGAAAUGAAGCGACUAUUACAAUCAGAAAUCGAUGAAGCUUCAAAAGAAGUCAGUGAAAGUCGAACCGAGAAAACCAACGGACAGUACCUCGACGCCUCCGGCGAUCUUGAAUCUAAUUUUCAGCCAACCAAAUAGAGUAUUCACAAGCCAAAUGAAGCGCGUGAAGACGAGAAGGAUCCAGCGACGCGCAAACAGAAACACAGCUUCGAUUUAAGUCCGAAAUCGACUCAAACCACCAGAAAUUUUAGAAACAAAGCAGUAGAAAUCAGACUAGCUAUAGCUUUUGGCUGAGAAAGCUUGCUGGAUUUUUUG